rnacentral:rRNA from 1 species
UGCCGCGUGAGUGACGAAGGCCUUCGGGUUGUAAAGCUCUUUCAGAUGCGAAGAUGAUGACGGUAACAUCAGAAGAAGCCCCGGCUAAUUUCGUGCCAGCAGCCGCGGUAAUACGAAAGGGGCAAGCGUUGUUCGGAUUUACUGGGCGUAAAGGGCACGCAGGCGGUCUUGCCAGUCAGGGGUGAAAGCCCGGGGCUCAACCCCGGAACUGCCUCUGAUACUGCAGGACUAGAGACUAGGAGAGGGUGGUGGAAUUCCCAGUGUAGAGGUGAAAUUCGUAGAUAUUGGGAGGAACACCAGAGGCGAAGGCGGCCACCUGGACAAGAUCUGACGCUCAGGUGCGAAAGCGUGGGGAGCAAACAGGAUUAGAUACCCUGGUAGUCCACGCCGUAAACGAUGAGUGCUAGUUGUCGGAAUUUCGAUUUCGGUGACGCAGCUGACGCAUUAAGCACUCCGCCUGGGGAGUACGGUC